rnacentral:rRNA from 1 species
GGAACAACAGCUGGAAACGGCUGCUAAUACCCCAUAGGCUGAGGAGCAAAAGGAGGAAUCCGCCCAAGGAGGGGCUCGCGUCUGAUUAGUUAGUUGGUGAGGCAAUGGCUUACCAAGGCGACGAUCAGUAGCUGGUCCGAGAGGAUGAUCAGCCACACUGGGACUGAGACACGGCCCAGACUCCUACGGGAGGCAGCAGUGGGGAAUUUUCCGCAAUGGGCGAAAGCCUGACGGAGCAAUGCCGCGUGAAGGCAGAAGGCCCACGGGUCAUGAACUUCUUUUCUCGGAGAAGAAAAAAUGACGGUAUCUGAGGAAUAAGCAUCGGCUAACUCUGUGCCAGCAGCCGCGGUAAGACAGAGGAUGCAAGCGUUAUCCGGAAUGAUUGGGCGUAAAGCGUCUGUAGGUGGCUUUUCAAGUCCGCCGUCA